rnacentral:rRNA from 1 species
ACAGCAGCCGCCGCGGGAAUACAGAGGGUGCGAGCGUUAAUCGGAUUUACUGGGCGUAAAGCGUGCGUAGGCGGCUUCUUAAGUCGGAUGUGAAAUCCCUGAGCUUAACUUAGGAAUUGCAUUCGAUACUGGGAAGCUAGAGUAUGGGAGAGGAUGGUAGAAUUCCAGGUGUAGCGGUGAAAUGCGUAGAGAUCUGGAGGAAUACCGAUGGCGAAGGCAGCCAUCUGACCUAAUACUGACGCUGAGGUACGAAAGCAUGGGGAGCAAACAGGAUUAGAUACCCGUGUAGUCCCUGUCUCUUAUAC